rnacentral:rRNA from 1 species
UCGCCCUUAGAGUUUGAUCCUGGCUCAGGACGAACGCUGGCGGCGUGCCUAAUACAUGCAAGUCGAGCGAGCGGAACUAACAGAUUUACUUCGGUAAUGACGUUAGGAAAGCGAGCGGCGGAUGGGUGAGUAACACGUGGGGAACCUGCCCCAUAGUCUGGGAUACCACUUGGAAACAGGUGCUAAUACCGGAUAAGAAAGCAGAUCGCAUGAUCAGCUUUUAAAAGGCGGCGUAAGCUGUCGCUAUGGGAUGGCCCCGCGGUGCAUUAGCUAGUUGGUAAGGUAAAGGCUUACCAAGGCGAUGAUGCAUAGCCGAGUUGAGAGACUGAUCGGCCACAUUGGGACUGAGACACGGCCCAAACUCCUACGGGAGGCAGCAGUAGGGAAUCUUCCACAAUGGACGCAAGUCUGAUGGAGCAACGCCGCGUGAGUGAAGAAGGUUUUCGGAUCGUAAAGCUCUGUUGUUGGUGAAGAAGGAUAGAGGUAGUAACUGGCCUUUAUUUGACGGUAAUCAACCAGAAAGUCACGGCUAACUACGUGCCAGCAGCCGCGGUAAUACGUAGGUGGCAAGCGUUGUCCGGAUUUAUUGGGCGUAAAGCGAGCGCAGGCGGAAGAAUAAGUCUGAUGUGAAAGCCCUCGGCUUAACCGAGGAACUGCAUCGGAAACUGUUUUUCUUGAGUGCAGAAGAGGAGAGUGGAACUCCAUGUGUAGCGGUGGAAUGCGUAGAUAUAUGGAAGAACACCAGUGGCGAAGGCGGCUCUCUGGUCUGCAACUGACGCUGAGGCUCGAAAGCAUGGGUAGCGAACAGGAUUAGAUACCCUGGUAGUCCAUGCCGUAAACGAUGAGUGCUAAGUGUUGGGAGGUUUCCGCCUCUCAGUGCUGCAGCUAACGCAUUAAGCACUCCGCCUGGGGAGUACGACCGCAAGGUUGAAACUCAAAGGAAUUGACGGGGGCCCGCACAAGCGGUGGAGCAUGUGGUUUAAUUCGAAGCAACGCGAAGAACCUUACCAGGUCUUGACAUCUAGUGCCAUUUGUAGAGAUACAAAGUUCCCUUCGGGGACGCUAAGACAGGUGGUGCAUGGCUGUCGUCAGCUCGUGUCGUGAGAUGUUGGGUUAAGUCCCGCAACGAGCGCAACCCUUGUUAUUAGUUGCCAGCAUUAAGUUGGGCACUCUAAUGAGACUGCCGGUGACAAACCGGAGGAAGGUGGGGAUGACGUCAAGUCAUCAUGCCCCUUAUGACCUGGGCUACACACGUGCUACAAUGGGCAGUACAACGAGAAGCGAGCCUGCGAAGGCAAGCGAAUCUCUGAAAGCUGUUCUCAGUUCGGACUGCAGUCUGCAACUCGACUGCACGAAGCUGGAAUCGCUAGUAAUCGCGGAUCAGCACGCCGCGGUGAAUACGUUCCCGGGCCUUGUACACACCGCCCGUCACACCAUGGGAGUCUGCAAUGCCCAAAGCCGGUGGCCUAACCUUCGGGAAGGAGCCGUCUAAGGCAGGGCAGAUGACUGGGGUGAAGUCGUAACAAGGUAACCGUAAAGGGCG